AGCUCCAAUAGCGUAUAUUAAAGUUGUUGCGGUUAAAAAGCUCGUAGUUGGAUUUCUGUUGAAGGCGGCCGGUCCGCACUAUGUGCGUGUAUCUGGUUCGUUUUUAGCAUCCUCUUGGGGAACGUUUCUGUGCUUGAUUGCAUGGGGCGGGAUUCAAGACUUUUACUUUGAGGAAAUUAGAGUGUUCACGGCAAGCUAUCGCUUUGAAUACAUUAGCAUGGAAUAAUAAUAUAGGGCGUAAGUCUUAUUUUGUUGGUUUCUAGGACAUACGCAAUGAUUAAUAGGGACAAUUGGGGGCAUUCGUAUUAACGCGUCAGAGGUGGAAUUCUUAGAUUGCGUUACGACGAACUACUGCGAAAGCAUUUGCCAAGGAUGUUUUCA
rnacentral:rRNA from 1 species